rnacentral:rRNA from 1 species
AACGAACGCUGGCGGCAUGCCUAACACAUGCAAGUCGAACGAGACCUUCGGGUCUAGUGGCGCACGGGUGCGUAACGCGUGGGAACCUGCCCUUAGGUUCGGAAUAACUCCCCGAAAGGGGUGCUAAUACCGGAUAAUGUCUUCGGACCAAAGAUUUAUCGCCUUUGGAUGGGCCCGCGUUGGAUUAGCUAGUUGGUAGGGUAAAAGCCUACCAAGGCGACGAUCCAUAGCUGGUCUGAGAGGAUGAUCAGCCACACUGGGACUGAGACACGGCCCAGAAUCCUACGGGAGGCAGCAGUGGGGAAUAUUGGACAAUGGGCGAAAGCCUGAUCCAGCAAUGCCGCGUGAGUGAUGAAGGCCUUAGGGUUGUAAAGCUCUUUUACCCGGGAUGAUAAUGACAGUACCGGGAGAAUAAGCCCCGGCUAACUCCGUG